AUUCAACCAAUCAUUCAACCAAUCAAUAUCCCUAAAAAUUAUCCAAAACAUUCAACCAAUCAUUCCAAAACAUACCAUUCAAUUCCAUACCUAUUGUCAUUCCAAAACAUACCAUUCCAUUCCAAAACAUAUCAUUCAAUAACCAAUAAAACAUACCAUUCCAUUCCAAAACAUACCAUUCAAUAACCAACAAAACAUAUCAUUCAUACAAUUCAUGUUAUUCAAAACUAAACUAAACCAAAAGAUAAAAGAAGAGGAACCUAUUUGUUGGUGUCAGUCACGCUAUUCGUCCCACUUUUAGUCGGACUUUGAGUCGCUUUUUUGCCAACAUUUUCGACAUUUGAAUCUCUUGUAGUAGGCGUGAUUAUGUUGUCGCGUCCUUGGCUCGACUGACCCUAAUGUAAAAAAGUCCUAUAAAAAACAAUCAAAUUAAAUAAUAAAUUAUAAUGAAUUAUAAUGAAAAUUAAUACUCACCCGCUCUUAAGAAUAGUGGCGGGAGUUGGUGCAUCCGGUUGUCUCAAUCCUUUUGUCCAUUUUCUUCGAUAUUCUUCAUCGAAGCGGUCCUCUACGAUUUCUUGAUCUAUUCUUGCAGAUUGUGAUCGUCCGUCGUUUGUUCGUUUACGACUUCGUCCGCGUGCCAUUUCUAAUGGAAUAUUUUCUAAAUGAAUAAAUAAAAUGAAAUUAGUUCGAUGACCUUUUGAAUCUUGCCGGUUAUACAUCCAAGUUCGAUCAUCAUCGGUCAUUCUAAAAUUUUAAACCAAUACAAUUAGUUUUUAAACCAAUACAAUUUUAAAGCUAAGGAUUUUCCCAUGGAAUUAAUAAAAUAUCCAAUAAAACAACAUGGGAAUUAAUCUAGCUUAAUUUACUUCAUAUAAAGUUCUAACACUUCAUAUAAAGUUCUAUGUUGCUUUCAAAAUAAAAGUUUUAUAUUAUAGAAGAUGAUCCAAUGAUUUAAUUUUACACAAAAAAUGCAAAAAAGACCAAAAAUUGAAAAAACAGCAAAGUAUAUGUAAAAUUAAAAACCUUUUUUUUAGCAGCUUGAAACAAGGACCUUACACGCCGAGCUCCAACUCCAACAAACCUAUGGUAGAAAAGUGAGCAACACACUAACAUUAUAUUCUGUUUGGGUUCAAACUUCAGAUUACAUUUCAAAUGCAUAUCUUUUCUUUUUUGAUAAUAUUAAAAUUUCAGUAAAAUGAAAGCACAGAUUACAAGAUUAGGAAUGAGAAAGUUCUCAUAGUCACUCACUCCUAAUAUAACUACAUCUAUAACAUUAUAUAAUCCAAUAAUGAUGCCUCAGAAGGUUGACUCCUAUGAGUUCAGCACAUUCUUCUCAAUCUGUGUUUGAAAGAGCUUUUUUUGGGAGGUAGAAUUGAAGAAUGUGCUCACAUUCCUUAGAACCUCUGUGCUGAUCACUUGCACAAAAUCAUAACUAGAGAAUCAAGUUUCAUGUACUUGUGAGUUGUGACAAGUUUUAUAUUUGAUUGGGAAAAUUCAAUUAUCAAGUCCAAAAAGAAAAUAAAUAAAGAUUAGAAUUUUCAAAAAUGUUAACACAGUUAAAAAGACAUUUAAAAAAACACCCAUCAGAGAGAGACGGACACAAUGCUAUUGAAAGGGAUCAAAUACGAUUAAGGAAAAAUACGUUCUAUUGUUGAACUGAAUGCUUAAAAUCGACUUACAACAACCGGGCGGCGAGAUCCCUUCUCUGAAAAACUCGCAGCCGACGACGAGAGGUGGUGGGAUAUAACUUCUACAGUCGAUGUUGAGAAUUCUACAGUAGAUUUGCUGCUGCUCUCCGCGUGACUUCUACAGUCCGAUCCGAACUCGGGGGAAUGAGAGGAACUCCUUUGCCGUUGGAAGGGAAUGGGGGGGGAAUGAGGGGAACUCCUUUUUUCUGCCGUUGGGAGGGAAUGGGGGAGGGGUUUGGGGGUUUUCACGAUUUGGGGGUAUCUUUUAAUAAAUGAAGUUAUUAAAUAUUUUUAAUUUAAAAUAUCUUUUUAAAUAUCUUUCUAAUUUAAUAAAUAUUUUUUAUAUUUAAAUUAUUCACUAAAUUAAAAAGAAGUUAUUUGGAAUUUAUAACUUUCAAAUAACAUUUUAAUUUAAUUUUUCACUUUAAAAUUUUAAAUAUAAAAAAAA
rnacentral:lncRNA from 1 species